rnacentral:ncRNA from 1 species
GCGGUGCAGCACUCCAUUUUCAUGCUGUACCGUACAGAAAAAAAGGAGGAAAUACCGCGGCUGGCGGUGCGUCAGUGUGGAGACCUGGCGUAAAGUCGCACGUCCCUUCGCGGACGUCGGCGAGGCAUGUCAUUGCGGAGGCAGGCAUGCUACAGCAUUGAAAUGGC